UAGGGAUUUUGAGGAAACCGCACGUCCAUCUAACCAGUUGUGGAUUUCUCAUGAUCCUUAAU
rnacentral:pre_miRNA from 1 species